rnacentral:rRNA from 1 species
GUGGCAUACGGCUCAGUAACACGUAGUCAACAUGCCCAGGGGACGUGGAUAACCUCGGGAAACUGAGGAUAAACCGCGAUAGGUCAUCACUUCUGGAAUGGGUAAUGACUUAAACCUAUAUGGCCCCUGGAUUGGACUGCGGCCGAUCAGGCUGUUGGUGAGGUAAUGGCCCACCAAACCUGUAACCGGUACGGGCUCUGAGAGGAGGAGCCCGGAGAUGGGCACUGAGACAAGGGCCCAGGCCCUAUGGGGCGCAGCAGGCGCGAAACCUCUGCAAUAGGCGAAAGCUUGACAGGGUUACUCUGAGUGAUUUCCGUUAAGGAGAUCUUUUGGCACCUCUAAAAAUGGUGCAGAAUAAGGGGUGGGCAAGUCUGGUGUCAGCCGCCGCGGUAAUACCAGCACCCCGAGUGGUCGGGACGUUUAUUGGGCCUAAAGCAUCCGUAGCCGGUUCUACAAGUCUUCCGUUAAAUCCACCUGCUUAACAGAUGGGCUGCGGAAGAUACUAUAGAGCUAGGAGGCGGGAGAGGCAAGCGGUACUCGAUGGGUAGGGGUAAAAUCCGUUGAUCCAUUGAAGACCACCAGUGGCGAAGGCGGCUUGCCAGAACGCGCUCGACGGUGAGGGAUGAAAGCUGGGGGAGCAAACCGGAUUAGAUACCCGGGUAGUCCCAGCUGUAA